rnacentral:rRNA from 1 species
UACGAAGGGGGCUAGCGUUGUUCGGAUUUACUGGGCGUAAAGCGCACGUAGGCGGAUCGUUAAGUCGGGGGUGAAAUCCUGGAGCUCAACUCCAGAACUGCCUUCGAUACUGGCGAUCUUGAGUCCGGAAGAGGUGAGUGGAAUUCCUAGUGUAGAGGUGGAAUUCGUAGAUAUUAGGAAGAACACCAGUGGCGAAGGCGGCUCACUGGUCCGGUACUGACGCUGAGGUGCGGAAAGCGUGGGGAGCAAACAGGG